UGAGAAUACAUCACAUUCCUCCCUUCUGGUC
rnacentral:piRNA from 1 species